AGCGAACGCUGGCGGCAGGCUUAACACAUGCAAGUCGAACGGGCGUAGCAAUACGUCAGUGGCAGACGGGUGAGUAACGCGUGGGAACGUACCUUUUGGUUCGGAACAACCCAGGGAAACUUGGGCUAAUACCGGAUAAGCCCUUACGGGGAAAGAUUUAUCGCCGAAAGAUCGGCCCGCGUCUGAUUAGCUAGUUGGUGUGGUAACGGCGCACCAAGGCGACGAUCAGUAGCUGGUCUGAGAGGAUGAUCAGCCACAUUGGGACUGAGACACGGCCCAAACUCCUACGGGAGGCAGCAGUGGGGAAUAUUGGACAAUGGGCGCAAGCCUGAUCCAGCCAUGCCGCGUGAGUGAUGAAGGCCCUAGGGUUGUAAAGCUCUUUUGUGCGGGAAGAUAAUGACGGUACCGCAAGAAUAAGCCCCGGCUAACUUCGUGCCAGCAGCCGCAGUAAU
rnacentral:rRNA from 1 species